UGGGCCUCAGGUCAGAUGAGACGACCCGCUGAAUUUAAGCAUAUCAU
rnacentral:rRNA from 1 species